CUUACCCGGAACAGACACAGAAUGUGAUAGAUCUUACAGAUGAUUUUUUAUAAGUACAUGAGUGGUCUCCACACAAGUUAGGAAAGUUGCUGGAAAUCUGAGGAGGUUUUCAGGAUACCUGAAAGCCAGAGUCCACUUAGCCAUUGUUUGAAGAAAACAAUUUCAGGCAUUUCAAAGGAAGAGAUCUCUCAGACAACUGGCUGUUCCUGCUUCAAACCAGCUCCCAUCCUCCCCACCCACCACCCCAUCAGAGGGCCAUUAGAAUGCUGUUGGAAAUGGUGGUGGUUUUUCAGCAAAUACCAGGUUCUCCCACUUCAAAGAACAGUCAGCAGAGCGCAACUUUCCACUUAGAGUAGAAGCCUCCAUUCUUCAACCCUGGGAGAAACAACAGCAUUCUCUAUAACCCAAGUUGGGAAACUAGAAGCAAAUUGUCAAUGGACCUAGAACACCCAUCUUCCACUUCUUAGUCCUUCUCUGAACAAGGAGAAGAGUUGUAAUUACAGUUUUCAGACGUGAUAUGAAAACUUAGUCAGCAUGGAGACGCUGCUGUCAAGCUGGGCUGCCAUUUGAGCUCGAGAGGAAGGAAAUCCUUGGAAAGGUA
rnacentral:lncRNA from 1 species